rnacentral:misc_RNA from 1 species
GAUGAAGAACGUAGCGAAAUGCGAUAAGUAGUGUGAAUUGCAGAAUUCAGUGAAUCAUCGAAUCUUUGAACGCACAUUGCGCCCCAUGGUAUUCCGUGGGGCAUGCCUGUUCGAGCGUCAUUUACCCCCUCAAGCUCCGCUUGGUGUUGGGCGUCUGUCCCGCUUCGCGCGCGGACUCGCCCCAAAGGUAUUGGCAGCGGUCGUGCCAGCUUCUCGCGCAGCACAUUGCGCUUCUCGAGGCACCGGUGGGCCCGCGUCCCCGGACGUCGGGACUCUAGUGAUAGACCUCAGAUCAGGUAGGACUGCCCGCUGAACUUAAGCAUAUCAAUAAGCGGAGGA